rnacentral:ncRNA from 1 species
CCUUAUCAAGAGUGGUGGAGGGGCACGGCCCGAUGAAACCCGGCAACCUGUUUUUACAAGGUGCUAAAUCCGUCGGUUUAUCCGAAAGAUGAGG